GUGUAACAACUCACCUGCCGAAUCAACUAGCCCUGAAAAUGGAUGGCGCUUGAGCGAGAGACCUAUACCCAGCCGUUGCUGGCUUGUGCGUUGUCUAGCGCCUGGCCGCAACGAGUAGGAGGGUCGUGGCGGUUGCGUCGAAGGCUUUGGGCGUAGGCCCAGCUGGAGCUUCCGUCAGUGCAGAUCUCGGUGGUAGUAGCAAAUAUUUAAGUUCGAUCCUUGAAGACUGAAGUGGAGAAGGGUUCCACGUGAACAGUAGUUGAAUGUGGGUCAGUCGAUCCUAAGAUACUGGCUUAUGCCUUGUAUCAUCGAGAGGGAAAAGUCUCUUUUCUCUCGGAUAUCAAAAGGGAAUAGGGUUAAUAUUCCCUAACGCAGACACAGAGAUUGUGGCUCGUUGAGUCACUUGCGCGGUAACGCAUUCGAACUUGGUUACGUCGCUCAGAGACCGAGCUAGAGUUCUCUUCUCUAGUUAAGGAACGGACUCCCUGGAAUCGGUUCAGCCGUAGAUAGGGACGUUGUUUCCGUAAAGCAUCGCGGUUUCUGUGAUGUCUCGUGUUCUCUGGACGGCCCUUGAAAAACCAAGGAAGGCUAUUAAUCUGUGCUGCAUCGUACCGAUAUCCGCAUCAGGUCUCCAAGGUGAACAGCCUCUAGUCGAUAGAAUAAUGUAGGUAAGGGAAGUCGGCAAAUUAGAUCCGUAACUUCGGGAAAAGGAUUGGCUCCAGUGACCGGGUCGGUUGGCCUGUUAACUGAUGCUUGUGCGGUUUCGUCCGUGGCUGGCUGAUGCUCACGCUGAUGCUGGACUAGUGACAAGACUGCCUUGUGGACGUUUUCAGGUGUGUGCUUUGUUUUCGGACUUAGUAUCCUGACCGACCAUCAAAACGGUCGAACUGGAACUGGUACGGACUCGGGGAAUCCGACUGUCUAAUUAAAACAGAGGAGACAGAUGGUCCUUGCGGACGUUUACUGUCUCUGAUUUCUGCCCAGUGCUCUGAAUGUUAAAUCGUAGUAAUUCGAGUAAGCGCGGGUAAACGGCGGGAGUAACUAUGACUCUCUUAAGGUAGCCAAAUGCCUCGUCAGCUAACUACUGACGCGCAUGGAAGACUAAUCGUCGCGACUGCCGCUAGUACUAGUUUGUGAAACUUACUAGUAGCAAGUGU
rnacentral:ncRNA from 1 species